rnacentral:rRNA from 1 species
GACGAACGCUGGCGGCGUGCCUAAUACAUGCAAGUAGAACGCAGUUACGGACGGGUAAGUAACGCGUAGGUAACCUGCCUCAUGGCGGGGCUAAACUAUAGGAAACGAUAGCUAAUACCCCAUACUGUUAGAUGGACCUGGGUUGUAUUAGCUAGUUGGUGAGGUAAAGGCUCACCAAGGCGACGAUACAUAGCCGAGCUGAGAGGGUGAUCGGCCACACUGGGACUGAGACACGGCCCAGACUCCUACGGGAGGCAGCAGUGGGGAAUUUUGGACAAUGGGGGAAACCCUGAUCCAGCCAUCCCGCGUGUGCGAUGAAGGCCUUCGGGUUGUAAAGCACUUUUGGCAGGAAAGCGGUACCUGCAGAAUAAGCACCGGCUAACUACGUGCCAGCAGCCGCGGUAAUAC